rnacentral:rRNA from 1 species
CACGUAGGGUGCGAGCGUUGUCCGGAAUUAUUGGGCGUAAAGAGCUCGUAGGCGGUGUGUCGCGUCGGCCGUGAAAACCUGCAGCUUAACUGUGGGCUUGCGGUCGAUACGGGCAUCACUGGAGUUCGGCAGGGGAGACUGGAAUUCCUGGUGUAGCGGUGAAAUGCGCAGAUAUCAGGAGGGAACACCGGUGGCGAAGGCGGGUCUCUGGGCCGACACUGAC